CUCAAAUGAAUUGACGGGAACCCGCACAAGCGGAGGAGCAUGUGGUUUAAUUCGAUGAUACGCGAGGAACCUUACCCGGGCUUGAAAGUUAGUGAAGAGUGCAGAGACGCACUCGUCCUUCGGGACACGAAACUAGGUGCUGCAUGGCUGUCGUCAGCUCGUGCCGAGGUGUUGGGUUAAGUCCCGCAACGAGCGCAACCCCUAUGUUUAGUUGCCAGCAUGUAAUGGUGGGGACUCUAAACAGACUGCCUGUGCAAACAGAGAGGAAGGUGGGGACGACGUCAAGUCAUCAUGGCCCUUACGUCCGGGGCUACACACGUGCUACAAUGGAUGGUACAGCGGGCAGCUACAUAGCAAUAUGAUGCUAAUCUCUAAAAGCCAUUCACAGUUCGGAUUGGGGUCUGCAACUCGACCCCAUGAAGUUGGAUUCGCUAGUAAUCGCGUAUCAGCAAUGACGCGGUGAAUACGUUCCCGCGCUUUGUACACACCGCCG
rnacentral:rRNA from 1 species